GUGUCAGCCGCCGCGGUAAUACGUAGGUGGCAAGCGUUGUCCGGAAUUACUGGGUGUAAAGGGCGUGUAGGCGGGAAAGCAAGUCAGAUGUGAAAUCCCAGGGCUUAACUCUGGAGCUGCAUCUGAAACUGUUUUUCUUGAGUACUGGAGAGGAAAGUGGAAUUCCAAGUGUAGCGGUGAAAUGCGUAGAGAUUUGGAGGAACACCAGUGGCGAAGGCGGCUUUCUGGACAGUAACUGACGCUGAGGCGCGAAAGCGUGGGGAGCAAACAGGAUUAGAUACCCUGGUAGUCCACGCUGUAAACGAUGGAUACUAGGUGUGGGAGGUAUCGACCCCUUCCGUGCCGCAGUUAACACAAUAAGUAUCCCACCUGGGGAGUACGGCCGCAAGGUUGAA
rnacentral:rRNA from 1 species